GGCCUCGUGGUCGAGUGGUAAGUACAUUUGCCUCUCACUCUGUAGUCACAGGAUCAAUCCCCGGUCGAGGAGCUA